CCUACGGGAGGCAGCAGUGGGGGAUAUUGCACCAUGGGGGAAACCCUGAUGCAGCGACGCCGCGUGGGUGAAGAAGCGCCUCGGCGCGUAAAGCCCUGUCAGCAGGGAAGAAAAUGACGGUACCUGAAGCAGAAGCUCCGGCUAACUACGUGCCAUAAGCCGCGGUAAUACGUAGGGAGCGAACGUUGUCCGGAAUUACUGGGUGUAACGGGAGCGUAGGCGGGGAUGCAAGUUGGGUGUUAAAUCUACCGGCUCAACUGGUAGUCGCACUCAAAACUGCAGCUCUUGAGUGAAGUAGAGGCAGGCGGAAUUCCUAGUGUAGCGGUGAAAUGCGUAGAUAUUAGGAGGAACACCAGUGGCGAAGGCGGCCUGCUGGGCUUUUACUGACGCUGAGGCUCGAAAGUGUGGGGAGCAAACAGGAUUAGAUACCCCUGUAGUC
rnacentral:rRNA from 1 species